GUAUCCUGCUCAGAUGACGCUGGCGGCGUGCUUAACACAUGCAAGUCGAACGGGGCUACCAUUUUUGAAGCGAUUAGCUUGCUAAGAGUGGAAAUGUUGGCGGCUUAGUGGCGGACGGGUGAGUAACGCGUGGGUAACCUGCCAUAUACAGGGGGAUAACACUUAGAAAUAGGUGCUAAUACCGCAUAGCGCACGGAGCUGCAUGGCUCAGUGUGAAAAACUCCGGUGGUAUAUGAUGGACCCGCGUCUGAUUAGCUUGUUGCGGGGUAACGGCCCACCAAGGCGACGAUCAGUAGCCGGCCUGAGAGGGUGGACGGCCACAUCGGGACUGAGACACGGCCCAAACUCCUACGGGAGGCAGCAGUGGGGAAUAUUGGACAAUGGGGGGAACCCUGAUCCAGCGACGCCGCGUGAGUGAAGAAGUAUCUCGGUAUGUAAAGCUCUAUCAGCAGGGAAGAAAGAAAUGACGGUACCUGACCAAGAAGCCCCGGCUAACUACGUG
rnacentral:rRNA from 1 species